GUCUACGGCUAUGCUACCCUGAACAAACCCAAUCCCAUCUGAUCUCGGAAGCUAAGCAGGGUUGGGCCCGGUUAGUUAAUACUUGGAUGGGAGACCACCUAGGAAGACCAGGUGCUGUAGGUG
rnacentral:rRNA from 1 species